ensembl:snRNA U6 U6 spliceosomal RNA
CUUCUCACUUCAGCAGCACAUAUAGUAAAAUUGGAACCAUACAGAGAAGAUUAGCAAGGGCCCUGUGCAAGGAUGACACACAGAUUCGUGAAGCAUUCCAUAUUUUA